rnacentral:tRNA from 1 species
GGAGUUGUGGCUCAGCGGUAGAGCGCUCACUUUUCACGUGUGAGACCCUGGGUUCGAUCCUAAGCAACACAU